AUUAAUAAAUGUUUCUUUAACAAAUCAAGGAAACUGGCUUGGCUGUUUCCAAAAAAACAAGUCGUGAAGAAUUUUCGAAUGUUAUCUUUGUCAGCAAGCAGCAUCGGCUGACAAAUAUUCAACCGCUGCGAUGAAUGCAGCUGCCUUGGCACCUACGGCGUGUUAUGGCGUCUUGCUGCAACUUGUCAAUCCUUUUCACGGGAACUUCAUUCUACUGAAGGUCCCAGAUUCUACGGAAACGAACUGAACACGUGGUGGUCUGGACCUACUGGAUGCAGGUGACAUGUAACAUCGGUCUACUUACCAUCAACUUGAGUAUAACUAAUCCAGUUUUGAAUGUAAAAAAUACUCAUCUUUAACUUCUUAGUUCUGCUUAUCCUGCAAAGGCUACCUACUGAAGU